GCUGCUCGGCGGCGGGCGGCGCCCUGUCGCGCUGCCCCGGAACUUUAUCCGGAGGAAGAGCCCCGAAGCGCUACUGACAAACUGGGGGAGCAGCAGCGCUAACGCCCUCCUGAGGACGGGGAAGGGGACUCUUGGCCUUCUCUGCUUUCGCUGUGCGCCUGCACAGUUGUAUAGAACCGUGAGGCGGGAGGCAGCUCUGGGCUCUUGAUGGACUUGGCAGCCAACGAAAAGGCAGUUCAUGCAGACUUUUUUAAUGGAACAGGCCCAGUCUGUGGGUCGGAAGCUGAGCAUGGCCAGGCUUCCUGCAGAGUUGUUUUCAGCAUCCUGGCCCUUCUGCUGCCUUCUGCAGGCCUCUGGCACUUUCAUUUUCCUGGUGCAGACGUGGGCCCUAAUGUGUCCCCACAUGCAGCAUGGUUGCAAGGUGAUCGUCCCUGUGUGCA